GAUGAACGCUAGCUACAGGCUUAACACAUGCAAGUCGAGGGGUAACGAGAGGAAAGCUUGCUUUCCUUGUCGACGACCGGCGCACGGGUGAGUAACGCGUAUCCAACCUGCCCCCAACUAGGGAAUAACCUUGCGAAAGUAAGACUAAUACCCUAUAAUUUCCUCAGAUGACCUCUGACGAGGAAUAAAGAUUUAUCGGCUGUGGAUGGGUAUGCGUCUGAUUAGCGUGUUGGCGGGGUAACGGCCCACCAAGGCAACGAUCAGUAGGGGUUCUGAGAGGAAGGUCCACCACAUUGGAACUGAGACACGGUCCAAACUCCUACGGGAGGCAGCAGUGAGGAAUAUUGGUCAAUGGGCGGAAGCCUGAACCAGCCAAGUAGCGUGCAGGAUGACGGCCCUAUGGGUUGUAAACUGCUUUUAUACAGGAAUAAAGUUAGCCACGUGUGGUUAUUUGUAGGUACUGUAUGAAUAAGGACCGGCUAAUUCCGUGCCAGCCGCCGCAGUAACAC
rnacentral:rRNA from 1 species